rnacentral:rRNA from 1 species
GAUGAACGCUGGCGGCGUGCCUAAUACAUGCAAGUCGAGCGGACGGACGAGAAGCUUGCUUCUCGGAUGUUAGCGGCGGACGGGUGAGUAACACGUGUAUAACCUACCUAUAAGACUGGUAUAACUUCGAGAAACCGUAGCUAAUACCGUAUGAUAUUUUGAACCGCAUUGUGCAAAAGUGAGAGACGGUCGUGCGGUCACGUAUAGAUGGAUCCGCGCUGCAUUAGCUAGUUGGUAAGGUAACGGCUUACCAAGGCAACGAUGCAUAGCCGACCUGAGAGAGUGAUCGGCCACACGGGAACUGAGACACGGUCAAGACUCCUGCGGGAGGCCGCAGUAGGGAAUCUUACGCAAUGGGCGAAAGCCUGACGGAGCAACGCCGCGUGAGUGAUGACGGUCUUCGGAUCGUAAAACUCUGUUAUUAGGGAAGAACAUAUGUGUAAGUAACUGUGGACAUCUUGACGGUACCUAAUCAGAAAGCCACGGCUAACUACGUG